UAAAAAGGCUUCUGUUGUGAGUGCUACAUGUAGAGUGGGUCUGUUUGCUCUUCAUGCGGGAUCAAUAAAGAGAUAUCAGAGGCAUAAAUUUAAAAAAAAUAAAAGGCUAAUGAAAAUACUCUUUUUA